GCACGGUCUAGCUUGCUAGAUGGGUGGCGAGUGGCGAACGGGUGAGUAACGCGUAGGAAUAUACCUUAAAGUGGGGGACAACUUGGGGAAACUCAAGCUAAUACCGCAUAGAUCUCUGAGGAGAGAAGCUGGGGACCUUCGGGCCUGGCGCUUUAAGAUUAGCCUGCGUCCGAUUAGCUAGUUGGUGGGGUAAGGGCCUACCAAGGCGACGAUCGGUAGCUGGUCUGAGAGGAUGACCAGCCACACUGGAACUGAGACACGGUCCAGACUCCUACGGGAGGCAGCAGUGGGGAAUAUUGGACAAUGGGGGGAACCCUGAUCCAGCAAUGCCGCGUGUGUGAAGAAGGCCUGAGGGUUGUAAAGCACUUUCAGUGGGGAGGAGGGUUGACAGGUUAAGAGCUGGUUGACUGGACGUUACCCACAGAAGAAGCACCGGCUAACUCCGUGCCAGCAGCCGCGGUAAUACGGAGGGUGCGAGCGUUAAUCGGAAUUACUGGGCGUAAAGGGUGCGUAGGUGGUUUGAUAAGUUAUCUGUGAAAGCCCUGGGCUCAACCUGGGAACUGCAGAUAAGACUGUUGAACUCGAGUAUAGGAGAGGGUAGUGGAAUUUCCGGUGUAGCGGUGAAAUGCGUAGAGAUCGG
rnacentral:rRNA from 1 species